rnacentral:rRNA from 1 species
GAUGAACGCUGGCGGCGUGCCUAAUACAUGCAAGUCGAGCGAACAUUCUUUGUGCUCGCUUCCCUGCCGUUACCGGCGGACGGGUGAGUAACACGUGGAUAACCUACCUAUAAGACUGGGACAACUUCGGGAAACCGGAGCCAAUACCGGAUAUUAUAAUGAACCGUAAGGAUCAAUAGUGCAAGAUGGCUUUGCUGUCACUUAUUGAUCGAUCCGCGUCGCAUUAGCUAGUUGGUAAGGUAACGGCUUACCAAGGCAACGAUGCGUAGCCGACCUGAGAGGGUGAUCGGCCACACUGGAACUGAGACACGGUCCAGACUCCUACGGGAGGCAGCAGUAGGGAAUCUUCCGCAAUGGGCGAAAGCCUGACGGAGCAACGCCGCGUGAGUGAUGAAGGUCUUCGGAUCGUAAAACUCUGUUAUUAGGGAAGAACAAAUGUGUAAGUAACUAUGCACGUCUUGACGGUACCUAAUCAGAAAGCCACGGCUAACUACGUG